rnacentral:rRNA from 1 species
GACGAACGCUGGCGGCGUGCCUAAUACAUGCAAGUAGAACGCUGAAGGAGGAGCUUUCUUCUCUGGAUGAGUUGCGAACGGGUGAGUAACGCGUAGGUAACCUGCCUGGUAGCGGGGGAUAACUAUUGGAAACGAUAGCUAAUACCGCAUAAUAUUGACUAUUGCAUGAUAGUCAGUUGAAAGUUGCAACUGCACCACUACCAGAUGGACCUGCGUUGUAUUAGCUAGUUGGUGGGGUAACGGCUCACUAAGGCGACGAUACAUAGCCGAACUGAGAGGGUGAGUGGCCGCACUGAGAGGGUGACACGCCACAGACGGCUAGGGGAGGCGCCAGGAGGGAAACGUGGGGCAGGGGCGGAAGUCUGAGCGAGCAACGCGGAGUGAGGGAAGAAGGAUUUCGGAUCGUAAAGCUCGGUUGUAAGAGAAGAACGCGUGUGAGAGUGGAAAGCUCAGACUGUGACGGUAUCUUACAAGAAAGGAACGGCUAACUACGUG